rnacentral:rRNA from 1 species
UACAGAGGUGGCAAGCGUUGUUCGGAAUUACUGGGCGUAAAGGGCGCGUAGGCGGCCUGUUAAGUCGAACGUGAAAUCCCCGGGCUCAACCCGGGAACUGCGUCCGAUACUGGCAGGCUUGAAUCCGGGAGAGGGAUGCGGAAUUCCAGGUGUAGCGGUGAAAUGCGUAGAUAUCUGGAGGAACACCGGUGGCGAAGGCGGCAUCCUGGACCGGCAUUGACGCUGAGGCGCGAAAGCCAGGGGAGCGAACGGG